GGAAAAGGAAAGCUUGCUCUCGGGUGACGAGUGGCGGACGGGUGAGUAAUGUCUGGGAAACUGCCUGAUGGAGGGGGAUAACUACUGGAAACGGUAGCUAAUACCGCAUAACGUCGCAAGACCAAAGAGGGGGACCUUCGGGCCUCUUGCCAUCAGAUGUGCCCAGAUGGGAUUAGCUAGUAGGUGGGGUAACGGCUCACCUAGGCGACGAUCCCUAGCUGGUCUGAGAGGAUGACCAGCCACACUGGAACUGAGACACGGUCCAGACUCCUACGGGAGGCAGCAGUGGGGAAUAUUGCACAAUGGGCGCAAGCCUGAUGCAGCCAUGCCGCGUGUAUGAAGAAGGCCUUCGGGUUGUAAAGUACUUUCAGCGGGGAGGAAGGGAGUAAGGUUAAUAACCUUGCUCAUUGACGUUACCCGCAGAAGAAGCACCGGCUAACUCCGUGCCAGCAGCCGCGGUAAUACGGAGGGUGCAAGCGUUAAUCGGAAUUACUGGGCGUAAAGCGCACGCAGGCGGUCUGUCAAGUCGGAUGUGAAAUCCCCGGGCUCAACCUGGGAACUGCAUCCGAAACUGGCAGGCUUGAGUCUCGUAAGGGAGGUAGAAUUCCAGGUGUAGCGGUGAAAUGCGUAAGAUCUGGAGGAAUACCGGUGGCGAAAAGCGGCCUCCUGGACGAAAACUGACACUCACGUGCGAAAGCGUGGGGGAGCACACCCCGAUUAGAUACCCUCGUAGUCCCCGCCGCAGAAAGAUGUCGAUUUGGUAGGUGGUGGGGGGUUUAUUUAUGGCUACCU
rnacentral:rRNA from 1 species